rnacentral:rRNA from 1 species
ACUCCUACGGGAGGCAGCAGUGAGGAAUCUUGCGCAAUGGGGCAAGCCCAUCGACGCAGCCACGCCGCGUGCUGGAAGACGGCCCUAUGGGUUGUAAACAGCUUUUACUAGGGAAGAACCUGGACCUUUCGAGGACCACUGACGGUACCUAGUGAAUAAGCACCGGCUAACUCCGUGCCAGCAGCCGCGGUAAUACGGAGGGUGCAAGCGUUGUCCGGAAUCAUUGGGUGUAAAGGGUGUGCAGGCGGAAGUCUAAGUCGGAGGUGAAAUCUUGCCGCUUAACGGUAAAAGGGCCUUCGAUACUGGAUUUCUUGAGUUCGGAAGAGGUUGGUGGAAUUCGUGGUGUAGCGGUGAAAUGCAUAGAUAUCACGAAGAACACCAGUGGCGAAGGCGGCCAACUGGUCCGAUACUGACGCUGAUACACGAGAGCGUGGGGAGCGAACAGGAUUAGAUACCCUGUAGGCUCUG